CCUACGGGAGGCAGCAGUGGGGAAUAUUGCACAAUGGGCGAAAGCCUGAUGCAGCAACGCCGCGUGAAGGAAGAAGGCUUUCCGCUCGUAAACUUCUAUCAGCAGGGAAGUACGGUCACUGUGCUAAUCAUCAUUGAAUUGACGGUACCUGCAAAGGAAGCACCGGCUCACUCCGUGCCAGCAGCCGCGGUAAUACGGAGGGUGCGAGCGUUAAUCGGAAUUGCUGGGUGUAAAGCGAUCGUAGGCGGUAUGUCAAGUCAAGGGUGAAAUGCCCGCGCUCAACGUGGGAACUGCCUUUGAUACUGGCAAACUGGAGUGUGUGAGAGGAUAGUGGAAUUCCAGGUGUAGCAGUGAAAUCCGUAGAUAUCUGGAGGAACAUCAGUGGCGAAGGCGACUAACUGGAACAUAACUGACGCUGAGGAGCGAAAGCGUGGGUAGCAAACAGGAUUAGAUACCCCUGUAGUC
rnacentral:rRNA from 1 species